rnacentral:rRNA from 1 species
GUCGUAACAAGGUUUCCGUAGGUGAACCUGCGGAAGGAUCAUUACCUAGAGUUGUAGGCUUUGCCUGCUAUCUCUUACCCAUGUCUUUUGAGUACCUUCGUUUCCUCGGCGGGUCCGCCCGCCGAUUGGACAAUUUAAACCAUUUGCAGUUGCAAUCAGCGUCUGAAAAACUUAAUAGUUACAACUUUCAACAACGGAUCUCUUGGUUCUGGCAUCGAUGAAGAACGCAGCGAAAUGCGAUAAGUAGUGUGAAUUGCAGAAUUCAGUGAAUCAUCGAAUCUUUGAACGCACAUUGCGCCCCUUGGUAUUCCAUGGGGCAUGCCUGUUCGAGCGUCAUUUGUACCUUCAAGCUCUGCUUGGUGUUGGGUGUCUGUCUCGCCUCUGCGCGUAGACUCGCCUCAAAACAAUUGGCAGCCGGCGUAUUGAUUUCGGAGCGCAGUACAUCUCGCGCUUUGCACUCAGAACGACGACGUCCAAAAGUACAUUUUUACACUCUUAACCUCGGAUCAGGUAGGGAUACCCGCUGAACUUAAGCAU